rnacentral:rRNA from 1 species
CCUACGGGUGGCAGCAGUGGGGAAUAUUGCACAAUGGGGGAAACCCUGAUGCAGCGACGCCGCGUGAGUGAAGAAGUAUUUCGGUAUGUAAAGCUCUAUCAGCAGGGAAGAAAAUGACGGUACCUGACUAAGAAGCCCCGGCUAACUACGUGCCAGCAGCCGCGGUAAGACGUAGGGGGCAAGCGUUAUCCGGAUUUACUGGGUGUCAAGGGAGCGUAGACGGCCAGACAAGUCAGAAGUGAAAGCCCAGGGAUCAACCCUGGGACUGCUUUUGAAACUGCCGGGCUGGAGUGCAGGAGAGGUAAGCGGAAUUCGUAGUGUAGCGGGGAAAUGCGUAGAUAUUAGGAGGAACACCAGUGGCGAAGGCGGCUUACUGGACUGUAACUGACGUUGAGGCUCGAAAGCGUGGGGAGCAAACAGGAUUAGAUACCCCUGUAGUC